rnacentral:rRNA from 1 species
UGCAAGUAGAACGCUGAAGGAGGAGCUUGCUUCUCUGGAUGAGUUGCGAACGGGUGAGUAACGCGUAGGUAACCUGCCUGGUAGCGGGGGAUAACUAUUGGAAACGAUAGCUAAUACCGCAUAAGAGUAGAUGUUGCAUGACAUUUACUUAAAAGGUGCAAUUGCAUCACUACCAGAUGGACCUGCGUUGUAUUAGCUAGUUGGUGGGGUAACGGCUCACCAAGGCGACGAUACAUAGCCGACCUGAGAGGGUGAUCGGCCACACUGGGACUGAGACACGGCCCAGACUCCUACGGGAGGCAGCAGUAGGGAAUCUUCGGCAAUGGACGGAAGUCUGACCGAGCAACGCCGCGUGAGUGAAGAAGGUUUUCGGAUCGUAAAGCUCUGUUGUAAGAGAAGAACGAGUGUGAGAGUGGAAAGUUCACACUGUGACGGUAUCUUACCAGAAAGGGACGGCUAACUACGUGCCAGCAGCCGCGGUAAUACGUAGGUCCCGAGCGUUGUCCGGAUUUAUUGGGCGUAAAGCGAGCGCAGGCGGUUAGAUAAGUCUGAAGUUAAAGGCUGUGGCUUAACCAUAGUACGCUUUGGAAACUGUUUAACUUGAGUGCAAGAGGGGAGAGUGGAAUUCCAUGUGUAGCGGUGAAAUGCGAA